rnacentral:rRNA from 1 species
GAGAGGACCGUGUUGGACGAACCGCUGGUGUAUCGGUUGUUUCGCCAGGAGCACUGCCGAGUAGCUACGUUCGGACGGGAUAAGCGCUGAAAGCAUCUAAGCGCGAAGCCUACUUCAAGAUGAGAUUUCCCUUAAGGGUCGUGGGAGACUACCACGUUGAUAGGCUGCAGGUGUAAAGAUGGUAACAUCAAAGCCGAGCAGUACUAAUUGCCCGAGACUUUCUUGC